UCCGGUUGAUCCUGCCGGACCCGACUGCUAUUUGGGUGAGGAUAAGCCAUGCGAGUUGAAUGGGAUACCUAAAUUUCCCAUGGCAAACUGCUCAGUAACACAUGAUCAACUUGCCCUAUAGAGAAAAAUAACCUCGGGAAACUGAGGAUAAUGUUUCAUAGCUGAAUUGGCUUGGAAAAGUUUUUCAGUAAAAGGGAUAAAAAAAAUGGUUUUUAUCUGCUAUAGGAUAGGAUCGUGUUCGAUUAUGGUUGUUGGUGAGGUAACGGCUCACCAAGCCGAUAAUCGGUAGGGGCCGUGAGAGCGGGAGCCCCGAGAUGGGUACUGAGACAACGACCCAGGCCUUACGAGGCGCAGCAGGCGCGAAACCUCCGCAAUACACGAAAGUGUGACGGGGUUACCCAAAGUGUUCAUCAUUGAACUGUGGUAGGUGAGUAAUGUUCCCUACUAGAAAGGAGAGGGCAAGGCUGGUGCCAGCCGCCGCGGUAAAACCAGCUCUUCAAGUGGUCGGGAUAAUUAUUGGGCUUAAAGUGUCCGUAGCCGGUUUAGUAAGUUCCUGGUAAAAUCGGGUAGCUUAACUAUCUAUAUGCUAGGAAUACUACCACACUAGAGGGCGGGAGAGGUCUGAGGUACUACAGGGGUAGGGGUGAAAUCUUAUAAUCCUUGUAGGACCACCAGUGGCGAAGGCGUCAGACUGGAACGCGCCUGACGGUGAGGGACGAAAGCCAGGGGAGCGAACCGGAUUAGAUACCCGGGUAGUCCUGGCCGUAAACGAUGCAUACUAGGUGAUGGUACGGCCAUGAGCCGUGUCAGUGCCGUAGGGAAACCGUUAAGUGUGCCGCCUGGGAAGUACGGUCGCAAGGCUAAAACUUAAAGGAAUUGGCGGGGGAGCACCACAAGGGGUGAAGCCUGCGGUUCAAUUGGAGUCAACGCCG
rnacentral:rRNA from 1 species